GAUGAACGCUCGCGGGAGGCCUAACACAUGCAAGCCGAGCGGUAUUUGUUCUUCGGAACAGAGAGAGCGGCGCACGGGUGCGGAACACGUGUGCAACCUGCCUUUAUCUGGGGGAUAGCCUUUCGAAAGGAAGAUUAAUACCCCAUAAUAUAUUGAGUGGCAUCAUUUGAUAUUGAAAACUCCGGUGGCUAGAGAUGGGCACGCGCAAGAUUAGAUAGUUGGUGAGGUAACGGCUCACCAAGUCAAUGAUCUUUAGGGGGCCUGAGAGGGUGAUCCCCCACACUGGUACCGAGACACGGACCAGACUCCUACGGGAGGCAGCAGUGAGGAAGAUUGGACAAGGGGUUAGCGCCUGAUCCAGCCAUCCCGCGUGAAGGACGACGGCCCUAUGGGUUGUAAACUUCUUUUGUAUAGGGAUAAACCUACUCUCGGGAGAGUAGCUGAAGGUACUAUACGAAUAAGCACCGGCUAACUCCGUG
rnacentral:rRNA from 1 species